rnacentral:rRNA from 1 species
UACGAAGGGGGCUAGCGUUGCUCGGAAUCACUGGGCGUAAAGGGUGCGUAGGCGGGUCUUUAAGUCAGGGGUGAAAUCCUGGAGCUCAACUCCAGAACUGCCUUUGAUACUGACGAUCUGAGUCGGGAGAGGUGAGUGGAACUGCGAGUGUAGAGGUGAAAUUCGUAGAUAUUCGCAAGAACACCAGUGGCGAAGGCGGCUCACUGGCCC